rnacentral:tRNA from 1 species
AGCAAUGCUAAGAAAAUCAAAUCAAUCCGGCUCAUAACCCGAAGGUCAUCGGUUCAAAUCCGGUCCCCGCUACCA